ensembl:lncRNA
GGGGGACCUCGGAGGAGCCUUAAUCGCCAAGUGUAGAGUGUGGAUCCCGCUGCAUUUGGGGAGGGGAUGACUAAGUACUCUGGAGUGUGGAGUAGGCCUGGCGCCCAUCCUCCCUGUGGGCCACUCACUUACCCUUCAGAGUUCCCUGGAGGACCCUCCAUCUCUGGACGUCCCUUAGGUCUCCUCUUGGAGAAUUAUCAGGCCAUCUCUGUCGCUACUGUUGGCUGUUGAUGAUAUUCCAGAGUGAGUAGGGCAACGUCAUGAAUUAUUGCAUAACAUGACCCAGUCACUGUGAGGUUCACCUACCACCAUUAGGAGCAGCUGAAUUCAACGUUCAAGGAGUUGACCUAGAUAAUCUGCACAUCCUUGUUUGGACAGCUGUAAAAUUCACUGAGCAGAUGGCCUCCUGCCAAGGAGCAAGCUUAGAGCCUCAGAAUGAAUAAUCAUGAAGCUUGAUGCCCUUUCCAGACAAGAUCUGAGGCUAGUUAUCCUGCCCCGACAAUGACAACGACAAAAGGAAUCAGUGUUCUGCAGAUGAGGGAGGGAACUGAAAUCAGGGGCGGGGUGGGGGGGGGGGGUAAGAGGCUGCUUUGGCCUGAGUCAUGAAAGUGGAGGAGGGGGGCAGGAGGAGGAUUUCCACAUACAAAGAAAAGAAUAGAUGGGGCAAUCCUGAAAAGGUGGCUUAGAGUUGCUUGAAUUCAUUGCUGGGACCAGUCCUGGGAGGCUGCUCUGAGUUACUUUGGUGUUGGUUUUCUCUGGCCUUCCCUAAGUGUCUACAACCUCAACUGCCUUGCCAAAAUUCCAAGUGCAAACCUUGGGUCCUUGACACAGUGCCCAGCCCAGUACUAUCUGAUCCCAGAGUCAAACACGAUUCUCCUGCAUCUCUGCCCUGAUGUGUCUCCAGGAGCAAAUCUAAUAGCGAGGAACUCAUUUUCCUGUAGGGGCGAAAGGAGUAAACCUUGGAAGCUCCUGGAGGGGGCUGCAACUGGUCUAGGCCUGGGAAAACUGGAUGAGCAAGAUUUCCAGACUGAGAAGACAGGAAACAAAGGAAAAGAUAGGUGCAAAGGCCUAAGAAGCAGACCUGGGCACUGAGGAAUGGACACAGACAUAGAAGGAAAGAUUAAGAGCAAGGAUUUCAGUACUUGAGCUGGGGCUUGAGAAAUGGGCGGGUUCCAGUUGCCGGCCUGACGGGAGUGGAUAGUCUUCCCGUCCAUCACUGCAGACCCACCAAUGACGAUGUGCGGAGGCGGGGCCACAGAAAGGGCGGCUAAGAGGGCCCUGGCGCGUGACCAAACGCCUGUGGAUCUGGAUUGGACUGUGCGGGCAUCCGUGGGCUUCCGUGAACCGUUAACUUCGGCGAGCAGAGAACAUGGCGGCUCCCUUUCCCGAGAGCUCAAAACUGACCUGGGAUGGAAAAGGAUAGUACUGCUCAGCCUAUGGGCCUGUAAUGAGAAGAGAGUGGACCCAGAACCAACUUCUAGACCUGCCAAACAAGAUGAAGCAGGAUGGACUGGACGGGAUUGCGAAAAACAAACUCCAAGGAUCCAGAUUGUGGCAGUGCUGCUAUUUUUCAGGUAUGAGAACAUGGAUUUAAAUAUAAUUUAAAGCCAGCUCUGUCUAAGACAAGGGAGAAAGAUGAGAUCUGUACACCAAGUGGGUGUCAGAGAAUGAGAGUCUGCCAGUCUACCCCCACUGUGGGUGGGCAGGCAUUUAUUUGGCAGUGGUCCUGGAGGUGUAAGCUAAUAAGUCAAGUAAUAUGCAGGUCAGUACUUCCAUAAAUAUUUACUCUUCCAUACUUCGUCAGGCUUUUAUUUGGGGAGGGGGGCUUGCAGAUGUUGCUGUGACAAUACGUUGUGUUCCAUUCACAAUACAUUUCUAGUAUCUGAGUCUGAAGGACCCUUGUGUCUUUCUUACUCGCACCUUUGAGCCUCAGUUUCCACAUUUGCAAAGUGGGAAUCACACCUUGCUAUCAGGGAUAUAAGAAUCAAGUGUGAUAAUUUUUGUAAAGUGCUCAGCACACAGAGGUACUGAAGGAAUUAGUACAUCAUUUACAGAAUCCAUAUGUUGGAACAGAACAUUGUGGCUUAGUUUAGCUCUUCUCCUUACCUGUCCAGAGCCCACUGCUACUUCAUUUCUUUAGACUUUUGCUAUAAUUUCAAUUAAACAUUUGUUUCCUUUCACAGAGCCAGCGCAUGUCCUUUGGGGAUUACCUGGCAGCUCUUUGGAAACCAGUCUCUUUAAUCCUGCUGUGAUGCCAAGAGGUAGCCCGGCAAUUCAGACCUUGCUUUGCUCGGAGCCGCUUUCUUUUCUGGCCAGCACUGAUGCCUUACAUCGAAGCUGAUGUGACUCAGCACCAAGUUUGGGCACCAAGACGGUGUUUGUUAACUGGCAGCGCCAAAGAAGUCUCCUUUCCUUCCUCUAUAUAAAGAGACUUUGUUUCUGCGCAGUGGUUACUUUGUUGAAAAUUAAGAGUUUUGACAGUUGGGGUGGGGGAAGAGAGUGCUAAAUGCAUGAACUUUACCAAGGUGUGUUUAAGAACACUUCGAACCUUUAGUUUCAUAAAUACCUCUGCUUCCUCUGUUGCUUUAUUAGCAUGGGUUUUAUCCAGAAGGUGGCAUCACAGAACCUAAAUUUCACUCACCAAAGGGUAAGAGAAAUUUACAUCUCUUUGUGAUUAGAAAUUAAGGAUGUAACCUUUAGAUAGCAUGUUGACAUUUCAGAGACUUUUUAUUCAUUCCUGUAAUUGGUUAAAUUACUUUAAAGCUGUGGAAGAUGAGGUCAUGAUGGUUUUCUACCCAGUGGAAACCCGAGGCCUGAGGUAUUUAGAAAAACCCAAACCCAUGUUCCUUCACCAAGUGAUGUGAGCAAGACUGGUUUAUUUACUAAUCAGAAACAGUUGUGAAACUGAACAGUUACUGUGAUGCCUUCUUCCCCUUCCACAUGCACUUGUGCCCACUGCCCAUCAAGGUACUCUUGGGUGCCUUCAUUGGAAGGAGGGAUCGGGAAGGCCUAAAUGGAUGGUUUAAUGGGUAAAUCUGCUGAGUAUUGGCACUUAAAAAUAAGUCGCAAGGUUGAGGACUCUCAAACGGUGAUCCUCUAAUGGGUGACCUUCUCACAAUCAGGACUCUCAGGAAAACAGAAGAUGAUCCUCCUCGGAAUCUGAGCUAGGAUCUGGUUUGCUGCUUCUUUCCCAGGCGUUCAGUGCUAGGCCAGGCAUGUCACUUAGCCUCAUGAGGCAUGUACUCAGUGAAUGUCUGCUCACUGGUAGGAAUAUGAAUGCUUUAUAAAUUCUUGGUUUAAAGUAUUCCUUUGGGUAUAUACCCCAGGCGAGAUUGCUAGAUCAGAUGGUAGGUCUAUUUUUAGUUUUGGGGAGGGACCUUCAUACUGUUUUUGACAGUGGCUGUACCAGUUUCCAUGGGAGAAUACAUCCUGAACUAAAUGAGUUUCAUGACUGCUUUUCCGGCCGCCUUUGAUUGUCUGUUCUUUUCAGGAGAAGAGCUAUAGAAAUUAGGGGCUGAGACCGGGAAGAGCUUCCCUGAUCAGGAAAGAUGCAACGACCGGGCCUUCCCUGGGCUGCCUAAAGCCCANGGGGGCUGGGGCUGGGGCUGGGGCUGGGGCUGGGAAGGGUAGCCCUCUGGAGCAAGGCUGUCAGAGCAGGGGGAGAAAGCAGACUGCUGGAGGGCCUGGGCCCUCCGUGUGAAAGGGGUCUUGGACUGUGUGACUGCAGGCCAGGCCCCUGCCCGCUUCCCAACCCCUAGUCCUGCCUGGGGUGGGCGGAGCACGGGGCCCAUCAUCGGGGGUGACCUGAGAAUCGGUGGCCUUCUGGGAAAGGGGAGGCUGUUACCAUGGAGGCGUUUCCCCAUCUUCCAGGAGUCCCAGGCAUUUGGGGCUUUGCUGCUGGGGAAGGUCUUGGUGUUUCUGCCUCGUGCUGUGUGGUGCCUUGGCCUGUGACAAGUGGCUCAGGAAAGGGGGCUCUUCACCCACCGGUCUUGUGGCCUAGACCAGGACUCUGGGGCCGUCUCAUGGGAGGCCCAUGCUGACGUUGGUUCUUUCUUGUGAAUAGUCAGGCCUGGUUGCGUGGACGGCUCCACUCUGUGAGCCGAAUUGCACAGAGAGCCUGGCGAAGGUGCGUCGCUGUGCGGGGGUGCUCUUCUGGGUCCCUGUCCAGACGCCCCUUUCCACUCCGUGGCUCAGAUACCCUGCCAGGGGCCUGCAGGAGGCACAUAGGGGCGAUGGAGCAUCUGGGCUGUGGGAGAUGUUGGGUCUAGGGCAGAAGCAGAGCGUGGCCUGUGAUCAGGACUCCUUGGUGACAGGAAGGAGCUGAGCAGAAGAGUGUCCACUGUGCAUAGCAGUGGCUGGAGGGGAUCCUGAGGAACCACACCUGCGCGUGUGGGGAUGUGGCUGGAGCUUCAUCAGAGCAUUUCCAUGUCGCGCUCCGCCCUCUCCUGCUGACUCCUCUGCAUGUUAGUUGGAAGCAAGAGGUCACAUGGGUGCUGUCCGUGUGCAGGAGCUGAAGUGGGGACGUGUGGGAAGCCCCCCUGUUCUGCUUGCCGAAGAGGGCCUAUGCCCCCCGGCUGUCGCUGUUCCUUCUGUGUGUAUCUGCUGGGAGGCCUUGAUGCCUGCUGGUCUAGCCCCUGGGCCGUUUUGGUCUUGCUGUCGGGGGAGAUGAGGUUGCAUCAAGGGGCCUUUGUCUGCCCUCCCAAGACAGUGGGGGGUUUGUGUGGCAUGUGUGGGACUGUGUGUGGUCCUGCGCCCUUGGGGGUGGCGGGAGGAUCCAGGAGAUGAGUCUGGGGCAGGGAGGCUGCUCUGGUUUUCUUAUCUCAAGCUUCUGAUUAGCUUCGAUUCCUGAAACACGGAGCCACAGCCUAGGGAGAAAUAAAGUGGUAAUGAGAAUAUAAGGGGGGGCUGCCGGUGGGCAGGACCCAAGGCUUUGGGUGUGCAAGGUGAGGGGGCAUUGUGGCUUCAGGGCUGUUUCUCCUGUCCCCUUUCUUUCUUUCUUUUUUUUUUUUGUCUUUUGUCUUUUUGUUGUUGUUGUUGUUUUUGCUAUUUCUUGGGCCGCUCCCGCGGCAUAUGGAGGUUCCCAGGCUAGGGGUUGAAUUGGAGCUGUAGCCACCGGCCUACGCCAGAGCCACAGCAACGCGUGAUCCCAGCCGCGUCUGCAACCUACACCACAGCUCACGGCAACGCCGGAUCGUCAACCCACUGAGCAAGGGCAGGGACCGAACCCGCAACCUCAUGGUUCCUAGUCGGAUUCGUUAACCACUGUGCCACGACGGGAACUCCUCCUGUCCCCUUUCUUCAUUCUCCCACACACCUUUGGGUCAGUAUAUUUGGGGGACAGAAGAUAACCAUGGGCACUGAUGAAUAUGCUAUGAAAAAAUGUGGCUCUCUUGUAAAUUUGAGACAUUUCUUACGGAACAGGGUUAUUCUCCAUUUUCCAAGUGAAUCGUGCUCUGUCUGCAGAGGAUGACUUUGCUGUCUCAUCCUUAUUCUGUAUUGCCGCAGGCCUGUGAAGGAUGGCCACUGUGACAGGGGAGCCCUUCAUCCUGCUAGACUUUUGCACAGUCUAUAAUCUGAGGGAGUUCUGAGAAGGAACUGCUGUUGCUUAUGCUGUUUUUCUCCGGACAUAUUUCCCUCCCUUUUCCUGUAGCUUUAUGGACUCUUAGGCGCUGCUUUAUGGUGUCCAUUUCCUCCUGUUCUUUGCGAGGGUCUAGGUGAGUUUCUGAUUUCAGCUCCUCAAGUUGUUCCCCCUUUACCUAGUUCUCACUUAUUGCCAGGAGUUUGGGUGCCUGGUCCUUAAAGGGACAUUCUGGGUUGUCACAUUACCAAAAAGCUUACUUAGCUUCAAGAAAAAGAUUUGCAUACAUUGCAAAGAGGCAGAGAAAGAGCUGAUAAGUUUUCCAAGGUGAAUGUUUUAAGGGAAAAGAGAGGCCGUUUCCCUUUUUUCAACAGGGAUUCUUUAACUUUUCUUAUUUUUUUGCCCUUACAACAUGCUCCCAUGAGACACCUGGUCUCCUGGGUAUUGGCACCCUGCUCCCAGUUGCUGAUUCCGGAGCCCUGCCAAAGUCAGGCCUGUGCAGAGGCCUUCCUCAGGAGGAGCUCGUGCCAAAAGCACCUGAAGGACAAGUGAUCAGUAUGCGUGACUGCUCAUCCUCUGGGCUGCUUUUACCCGUGCCUCUGUCCUCAGGGGGAGUUCUCUGGGAUCUCUAGGAUCAAUUGGAAUGAGGAUUAAAACUACAGACCUUGUUUUGAGAGGGUGUAAACUGAUACCCUGAUGUCACUGGUGUGUUGGCAGGUGGAGCUGGGCUUUCCCUCUCCUAUCCUCCCUUUCUUGAGUCUCCAGAGGAGCACCUGGCAGAGAUGUCAUCUCUGUGUCUUGGGAUACAUGGGACCUGAUAGAAUAUGUGGUAGGAGGCGAGGACUCAGAUCCCACGUUGUGAAUGUUUAGUGUACAGCCCUGUCAAACAGGGUGGAAAGAGUGUGCAAAAUGUGUGCCCUCCUAUGUAGCUUGAAUGAUCUCUGAUCCCUCUGGAUUUGAAUUUGCCCUCGCAGCCCUUCAGCUGACACAAUAAAGGGAUUACUGAGUGUCGCCAGUCAGGCCCCUUCACAGUCUAGAUUUGGGUUGGCCUUCUCAGCUUCCCUUCCCGCUUCUUACUCAUGUGCAGGCCUACUGUACUGCUUCAUAUCAAGUUUGGAUAAGAACAGCAGUGGGCUCUGUUGAAUGAAUCCUAAGGAGAUGCUCUGAUUUGCUCAGUCUGCCCCAGCAGUCAGACAUAGCAGCCUUCCUGAAUGCUGAAAGGCCUGUCGUAGACUCGACUCUAGUGAUUAUAGGUUGUACAGUCAGGGUACUGAGCUACGGGAUGUAGGAUGUAGUUAAAGCUGGGAACCAAGACGUGCGUGUCUCCUCCUGAGCCCAGAGUUUGAAGUAUUGUGUAUAGAAAAAUGUGCUGAGAGUAAAUCUUAUUCUACCUUCUGUCAAAAAAUAAUAAUAUGAAUUAGCGAGGGUGGAAUGAAACUUAACAGGGGUUGGAUAUGUUUAAGGCAUAGAUUAUGAUGAUGGUUCGUGGAGGUAUACUUAUCUCCAGACUCAUUAAGUUGUAUGUAUUAAGUAUGUGCAGCUUUCUGUAUGUCAGUCAUACCUUCAUAACCUCAAUAAAGUGGUUUAAAAAUAAUAACAAAAAAGACCCUCUCGUGGUUACAGAUGUAUACUCCCCCUCAAGUGUCUUGAGGUUUUAGAACUGAAAGGGAAGAAUGCUUCUACACUGGGAAAUGGGUAAUGCUAUUUACUACUCUGUAUUAUUGUUUUGCCUUGGUUUUUCUAUGUAUGCAUAGCAUUUGCAUUGGCACAUAUAAGGUUAACCUUUAGUCCAUAGGAUUUUCAAUUUUGUAGAAUCACAGCACUUCUGCGAAAGCUGUGAACUUCACCUGGAGGACUUCAGCUCAAGGAGUGGCCUGUGACAUCAGCUAUUUGUCAUUUGACCAGAAAUUGACUUUGGGUCCUGUGCCUUUGGGAAUGGCUUGGACUUUGGGUUGGUUUUGUUUCUUAUAAUAUGUGCUUUUGUGCUUACCUGAGAAAUCUUUUAAAAUAUUUUACACAUGGGGACAUGUCCAGGUGUAAAAUAUUUUACAUAUGGGGACACGUCAAGGUGUAUAUGUACUGUAUCUGUAUCCUAUAGGGUGGAAGGUAGUGUCUCAGGCUGGUUGGUCUCUGCAGCAGGCCUCUUUUCUCUGAGGUCUUCCCACCACCUUCUGUUUUCUGUGUGACUGAGUUCCUUGGCCUUAGCUACUCAGUUUGAUACUUUUCAUCUUGUCCUAGUUGAGCAAACCAUGCUUCUGUUAUAUUUAGAGUUUGGGACUAGAUGCCAAGAAUGGGUGCUAGGCUAGCCUGCAAAGGCUCAUUAAUAACCUUUCACUGCAGAAAAUAUCAUGUAAAAGACAUAUUGUGGGGUUUCCCUGGGUUAUCCUCAUUUCUGUGUCUUUAGAAUGUAUUUGCUGCUUAAGCUUCUUGUAUUUUGUAAAAUACUUGUGUUCUUCCAAUAAAAUUUGAUUCAGAAGAUCUCACUUGUAGAUUUUUAUUAUUCACAAUGAACACCCGCCUGAUCAAAGAAUCGACGGCUCUGCCAUGUGCAUUGUUGCCUGAAUCAGGGCUGAGCUCUAAGCUAUAGAAUCUGAUAGAUUAAGAACAGGAGUUGGUGGCAGGGGAAUGGGGUCUCUCCAGGCUAUGGUAGAAGUUCCACCCUUCAUUAAGCUCACCCCUAAAGGUCAUAGGUAAUCCAAUACCUCCCUAUAAGAAGUGAUCCUUUUAACCACUUCAUGAAGGCCAUAAAUAUGUAUCUGGGGAUUGUGGAGGUUUUGGGGGAAAUCUCCUGAUCCUCCCAAGGGUAGGGCAGAGGUAGGAGGACCAGCAUGGUUGUACAAAGGAUCAGAAGUCAGUAGGACCAAAACUGGAAGCCACAAGCACACAGUUAAUUCCUGGUGAGGCCUGCAUGAGAACCUUGGUUCUUUGUGUCCGAGGCAUCUUUCAUUACACGACAUCACUAGAUCUUAGAAAGCCUUUGUAAUAGCAGAAUUAAGUAAGUAGAAGAAAUUUUUGGCAUUGUUUAUUCUUUAAACAUGUCAACACAGUAUCCAGCCCUAACUGGAACUAGACAUGCAGUUAACUAAAAUUUCAUGUCUUCUGUAUAGCUUACCAUGGUUUAAACAUAUCAGCAGGGAGUUCCCCUUGUGGUUCAGUGGAAAUGAAGCUGAUUAGUAUCCAUGAGGAUGUGGGUUGGUUCCCUGGCCUCACUCAGUUGGUUAAGGAUCCGGUGUUGCCUUGAGUGUGGUGUAGGUUGCAGGCACAGCUCAGAUCCUGCGCUGCUGUGGCUGUGGUGUAGGCCAGCGGCUACACCUCCGAUUCAGCCCCUAGCCUGGGAACUUCCAUAUGCUACGAGUGUGGCCCUGAAAAGGAAAAAAAAAAACAAAAAAAACCCAAAACAAAACACAUCAGCAGAAGCCUUAUCAUUAUGAUUAUGGUUACUAAAAUCAACCCCCAAGGGAAAGGAGAACAAUACUGGCAAUCUGUUCUGCCUGUAGACAUGCUGAGUGGUUGGGUACAGUUCUCUUUCGUGGGCCCCAGGUGUCAGCAGCUCUGUUCUUGCCAUCCAGACUAGAGUGGCCAAAGGUGCAGUGUCUCAUUUCCUGCCUGAGAGGUUCAUAAGUAUGCAAAGUUCAAAUCAUUUCUCUUUUUCUCCAAAUGGAGCUGGAACUUUAUACCCCUUUUAUUAUCCUCUCUUGUGUUACAGAAUGUGUCUCAUAUAAGGCUGUGAGCCAUCUGCCAUUUGGCCCUAUUUCAGGUCAGUGGGUAUGAUUUUACCUGAGGCAUUUGCACUUCGGCUCUACCAAACACCAGGAAAUCUCACUACCACUCUGAUGUUUAUAUUCCCAGGCUUCAGCAGGCGUGCGUUCCGCGGAGGCGGGCCCAGGGCAGGGGUGGGCGGGGCCAUGGCCCAUACCGGCGCCUGCGCGGGUUCCUCCCACUGGACCAGAUGGUUGCUAGUGCGCAGGCGCAACAUGGAGUCCACGCUAGGGCCUGAAGGGGCGGGGCUAACGUCUGCUCUUGGAGGGCGGGGGCGGAAUCUAUGUUUCCCAAGGCUGUAGGGGACGCUAGGUCUUACGUAAUGGGGACAGAGCCCGCUGCGCUUGGGGAGGGGAGGGCCAGGUGCUCUGAGGCUGAAGAGUCAGCCAGGUGCUCACCUUCCCCACCCUCCCUGGCACUCACUCGCCUUUCCGAGUUCCUUGUCUGACGCUCUGUCUCUGGACACCCCCCCUCACUUUUGUGAGGUUCUGUGAACACACGUUCCAGUUUAUUAUUCAUGCAUCGCUCAGCCAGAGAGUACUGGCACCCAGGCUGCACAUGUUGCCUGCGGUAUUAAUAGGAAAGCCCCAAAUAUUAGCCAACAUAGUCCAGAGCAGCAUGUUCAGAGAAUGAUGCACCAUGACCAGGGAAUGUAAGGAAGGUUGAGUGUUAAGAAAUCCCUUGAUUUGCUAUAUUAAAAGACCAAAAGAAAAAAAA